rnacentral:rRNA from 1 species
UACGUAGGGCGCAAGCGUUGUCCGGAAUUAUUGGGCGUAAAGAGCUCGUAGGCGGUUUGUCGCGUCUGCUGUGAAAACCUGAGGCUCAACCUCGGGCUUGCAGUGGGUACGGGCAGACUAGAGUGCGGUAGGGGUGACUGGAAUUCCUGGUGUAGCGGUGGAAUGCGCAGAUAUCAGGAGGAACACCUAUAGCGAAGGCAGCUUGCUGGGACGUUACUGACGCUGAGGCGCGAAAGCGUGGGGAGCGAACAGG